CAGUUUCAACUUGCUGCGGGCAAAUCCAGUGAAUAUGCGUAUCAAUACCGCCUGCUGUUAAAAUCUGUCCUUCACCCGCAAUGACUUCCGUGGCUGCACCUAAAGGAAUGGUAAUGUUGGGUUGAAUAUCAGGAUUUCCAGCUUUACCUAUUUUCCAAAUACGGCCAUUUUUCAAGCCUACAUCUGCUUUAACAAUGCCCCACCAAUCUACAAUUAAAGCGUUGGUAAUGACGGUAUCUGCAACAUCUGCCGCCAAAAGCUGUGAUUGGCCCAUGCCAUCACG
rnacentral:sRNA from 1 species